rnacentral:rRNA from 1 species
UAGUUACCAUCAUUUAGUUGGGUACUCUAAAGGAACCGCCGGUGAUAAGCCGGAGGAAGGUGGGGAUGACGUCAAGUCCUCAUGGCCCUUACGCGCUGGGCUACACACGUGCUACAAUGGCGGUGACAGUGGGCAGCAAUCCCGCGAGGGUGAGCUAAUCUCCUAAAGCCGUCUCAGUUCGGAUUGUUCUCUGCAACUCGAGAGCAUGAAGGCGGAAUCGCUAGUAAUCGCGGAUCAGCAUGCCGCGGUGAUACGUUCCCAGGC